GUGAAGGGGAGUUAUUUAAUGACUUCUGCAUUUCUGAAUAUGUUUACAGAACACCAUGACAAUGAGGACAGUGAUAAAGAAGAGUCACUUUAUUUCAGCUGUCUCAGCAGUCUCAACAGUGAAUUGCAGGAAAAGGAAGAGAAUGACCAAAAAUAUUUUCGGUACUCUGGUCAUCCUAAUUCAUGUUACACACAAGAACUUGUCGGAAGCUCUGUGUUCCCAUCACAUGAGCCUAAAGUCAGCUCUACUGUGGAUGGAACCAAACUGAAUUUGGAUACUUGCAUUGAACUGCAGAAAUUUCCCAAGCUUGAGGGUGAUGCCCUUGGAGGCUUGGCUGUCAAAACACCUGGAUGUGAGCUGAAUGUCCUCACUGAUACCAUGAGUGUCCUGAAACAGAAGAUCAUGAAAAGAAAACAACUCUUCUGCAAGUGGAGAAUGGCAUGCAGAUUCCCAGGACUUCAAGCUUCGGAAAACCAUGAAAAUGAUGAUGAAAAAGAUCAAAAUUCACUGAAUUCCAGGUAAAAACAAAUAAUCUGGAGAUUGUAAGAAAGGGCAAAAUAAGAGGUUAAGGAUAACCUGAAAGAAUAGACCAUGAGGUCAAAAGUAGACACAUUUGAUGACCAAAUGUAAAAAGAUUACUGUUGGCAGGGGUGAUGUUGACUAAGCCCAGUGUGAUGGAGCCCUUUAGCAAGGUUAUCUUUUAUCUUCCUGGUGCUGGUACAGUGAGUGUGACUGAGAAGAACUGCACAGUCUUGGGCAUUUCUUCCUUUUAACAAAAUCACUUGUUUAUUUUUAAGUUGAAUAAUCAGAACUAGAAGCAUACUAUCUUUCUAUACUAUGGCCUGAUAUUCGCGGACAGGUAUGUCAUAGCAAGAAAAACAGAAAUACGCUCCCUUUCUACCCCUUCCCCCCACAAAAAAAAGUAUUGUCAAAAAAAUGGAUAGAAAAAGUUCUAG
rnacentral:lncRNA from 1 species